GCAGAACCGUGCUGUGUAGGAACGUCCUGUACAGAGCCGGCAACUACAACAAAGAAAAAGCCAGAGCGGACAACUACGACAACACCAUCGACAUCUGGGAUCAAGAUUCGCUUAACAACGCUGAGUGAAAUGGGCAAAAAUAUUGGGCGGCAGGAGGAAGAAUCACGCCCUGGCUGAUAUUCUCAAGGAUCUCGCCCACUCUGUGGUGUUAGCGUGAGCCAUGGACAGGAGAUUCAACAGACGAAGUUAAAAAGCCGAUCAGACUGAGUCGAACGAUUUUUAGAUCUACUAACCAGACAGAGUCAGUUUUUCACAGAAACAUCAACCAGGGUGUCUCAGAUGGUAUUAUACCCAUCGACCAUGUUCAAUCAAAUAGAAAUUUACCAUCCUCAGAUAUUCAGUCAGAUGAUAUUAGACCCAUCCACCAUGUUCAGUCAGAUGAUAUUAGACCCACCCAGAAUAUUGAGUCAAAUCGUAUUAAACCCACCAUCUAGAGUGAGUCAUGUAUUAUCAAAACCAUCAACCAGGGUGACUCCGAUGAUGGACUCGCCAAGGAUAUUCAAUCAGAUGAUAUUAUACCCAUCCACCAGGUUCAGGGUGACCGAAAUUUACGAUCCUCAGAUAUUCAGUCAAAUCACACUGGACCCAAUUUAUAUAUUGAUUUUUAUUGUGACCAACACAUUUCGGUAAAUGAUGUUACAGACAUUCUCAAAACAAUAAAAAAUUAGGUGUUUUAAAACUAUAGCUGAAAUAUUCAUUGUUAUAAACAGGAGGAGGAAAAUAAUAAAUAAUUGUUUAAUACAAGUUGCCAUUCUCUUGCUAUUAAAAAAACAUAUACAAAUAAUUUUGUAUGUAUAUGUUUAUCAUUCCUUCCAUCAGCCAAACGGAACUGGAAAAACAUUUGGCCAAAGAUCAUCCCAAAUGUAUUUAUCCAUACAUAUUUUAUAUUUAAAAUAUGUUAACAUAAGAGUGUAUAUAUACAAAAAAAA